rnacentral:rRNA from 1 species
ACUUUCAACAACGGAUCUCUUGGUUCUCGCAUCGAUGAAGAACGCAGCGAAAUGCGAUAAGUAGUGUGAAUUGCAGAAUUCCGUGAAUCAUCGAAUCUUUGAACGCACAUUGCGCCUCCUGGUAAUCCGGGAGGCAUGCCUGUUCGAGCGUCA